rnacentral:rRNA from 1 species
GACGAACGCUGGCGGCGUGCUUAACACAUGCAAGUCGAACGGAAAGGCCCUGCUUUUGUGGGGUGCUCGAGUGGCGAACGGGUGAGUAACACGUGAGUAACCUGCCCUUGACUUUGGGAUAACUUCAGGAAACUGGGGCUAAUACCGGAUAGGAGCUCCUGCUGCAUGGUGGGGGUUGGAAAGUUUCGGCGGUUGGGGAUGGACUCGCGGCUUAUCAGCUUGUUGGUGGGGUAGUGGCUUACCAAGGCUUUGACGGGUAGCCGGCCUGAGAGGGUGACCGGCCACAUGGGGACUGAGAUACGGACCAGACGCCAACGGGAGGCAGCAGUGGGGAAUAUUGCACAAUGGGCGGAAGCCUGAUGCAGCAACGCCGCGUGCGGGAUGACGGCCUUCGGGUUGUAAACCGCUUUCGCCUGUGACGAAGCGUGAGUGACGGUAAUGGGUAAAGAAGCACCGGCUAACUACGUG